GUAAUCAAAAUAUAGUCACCCUAGAUAACCUAUUUGUGUCUGGGAAUUUUACAAAUAUUGUGUGGUAAAAAAAAAAUUAAAAGAAUGAGACAAAGUUUGAGAACGGUUCGUUGUUUUUAUUUGAGCUUUCAUGCACAUGUAACCUGGUUGUAUUUCAUUUUUUUGUUAUAAUUACACAAAAUGUUUUUAUUUGGUUAUUUGUAUUGUUACUUACCUGACUGAAACAUCUCUAGAAAUUCUGUCACUGUUUUAACCGUGUUACUUUAAGAAUGGAAGCUCCUCCUUUUCGGUUCUUCUUUUGUGGUAUUGUCUUUAAAUAGUUUGCACCCCUUAGUCCCUCCCCUUUUGUCAUGUUGUCCUGCGGGAGAGGACUUGGAGCGGGCAGCCUAUAACACGGUUGUAUGUUGUUCUCGUCAGGUAUGUGGCAUAAAGAAGGUUUAUUUUCUUUAUUGUUGUGAGACAUGGUCCGCCCCUUUUGUCAUGUUGUCCUGCGGGAGAGGACUUGGAGCGGGCAGCCUAUAACACGGUUGUAUGUUGUUCUCGUCAGGUACAAUAAAGCAAGACACCGUCAUUUUAAAGACAGACUGUGUCACGGCCUGAUCACUUAAAAAACCAGCACAACGCAGAAAGGAUCCGGUUACACUUGGUGCCGUUUGACCCGCUGUAACGUCGAAUCUCCGCUGCUGGAGCUGCUGCUAUGCUGCGCAUUUCCCGCCUUUGAGGUCUGGCUCCGCCUGCUUCGCUGCACCGAGCGCCUUUGCCCUGCACUUUGACUGGCGUUGGUGUGCUGUAUCCUGGCAACGAAGUAACUGUUUCGGUUGGUCUGUUUUGUGCACCUCGUUUUAUACAAGGGAGGAAGGGAAAUAAGUAAAAAAAAAAAAAAAAAAAAAAAAAGUUAU